UACGUAGGGGGCAAGCGUUGUCCGGAAUCAUUGGGCGUAAAGAGCGUGUAGGCGGCCUGAUAAGUCGGCUGUGAAAGUCAAGGGCUCAACCCUUGAAUGCCGGCCGAUACUGUCAGGCUAGAGUCCGGAAGAGGCGAGUGGAAUUCCUGGUGUAGCGGUGAAAUGCGUAGAUAUUGGGAGGAACACCAGUGGCGAAGGCGGCUCACUGGACCGGAACUGACGCUGAUGCGCGAAAGCGUGGGGAGCGAUCCGG
rnacentral:rRNA from 1 species